UUUGUUACUUCAAACCAAUCGGACUUCGGUCUGACAUCMAGUGAUAUUGAACAAUUUAGCUGAUCGCACGGUCUAAGAACCGGCGACAUAUCCUUCAAAUGUCUGCCUUAUCAACUUUCGAUGGUAGAUUAUGCGCCUACCAUGGUUGUAACGGGUAACGGAGAAUCAGGGUUUGAUUCCGGAGAGGGAGCCUGARAAACGGCUACCACAUCCAAGGAAGGSAGCAGGSACSCAAAUUACCCMCUCCCGGCACGGGGAGGUAGUGACSAAAAAUAACAAGCUGGUCUCAAUGRGUUCCAGCAUUGUAAUGGGAACAAUUUAAAWCUUUUAUCGAGGAUCUAUUGGARGGSAAGUCUGGUGCCAGCAGCCGCGGUAAUUCCAGCUCCAAUARCGUAUAUUAAAGUUGUUGCGGKYAAAAAGCUYGUARUUGGAUCUAGGAWUAGGGCUACGGUCGUUCARCUUGGGACGUACUGUAUGCCCGACUCCYUUUCUCUAGUAUUCGAUUGKUGCUCUUAAAUGAGUGACUUUAGUUGCUGGAACUUUUACCUUGAAAAAAUUGAAGUGCUCAAAGUAGGU
rnacentral:rRNA from 1 species